GGUAGAUACAGGAGUAGUCUAUAGUCUACAAUAAUAACAUAAUUGAAUGUGCGAUAGUAUCAUUUAUUUCACUCAUUUUUUUUUUGUACCAGCCCCCCGUGGGAAUCAAACCCACAACCCUGGCAUUGCACACACCAUGCUGGCGUAGCAAACACCAUGCUCUACCAACUGAGCCACAGGGAAUGAUGCAAUUGUGUAUAACAUUAUUGCAUAUACUGUAGUAUACAUUUAUUUGAUUGACUUAGUGUUUUUCUUUUGCUGUUUUUGUAUAACGUACUUUGAGGUCACUGAUACUCCACCUGAUGUGGUGGAAGUUGUCGAACCUUCAGGCAUGAACUGAGAAGGAUGUGGAGGUUUUUGACCAGACUGAACAUGGACAGGGCACAUGAGAAGGAGAGCCACCUGAGAAGAAUCAAGGGGACCAAGUGCUUCGACAUCCGAGCGAAUGACUUGGCUUGGAAGAAGGAUGAAAGGAAGGCGAGACCCGGGAAAGCUUGCUGCUCUUAGCUGGGAUCAACAUCCGUUAAGGACCUAGGGGUUCUGCCUAACACCCAGACAUGGAUCCAGCUGAUGUCCUCCAUUACCAAUCACCCUCCAACUCUUCAUUACAUCAGCUACUGUUAUUGUCAAGUUGUCAUUAUCUGCUAAGAAAGAGCAAGACAACUAUCAGACUUGGCACAUGGUGUUUUUAUAGCUAAUCUGUUCAGCUCACACUAUCACUGCAAACACUCAGAACAAAGAGGGCAGCAGCGCCUGGACAUUGCAGUUUCCCUCUUCGAGUCUACAACCUGUUGAAAAACAGGCAGAACCUCCCAUCCACACAAUACUUCCCUCCUCUCUAUUCCACACACCAGAAUUAUUUCAGUCUAUGGUUUCCAUGUGAGUGUACAAAAAAAUCAGAAAGUAAAUUGAAACACAUGUACCAAAAACAUAUAAAUGGUUAUGUAUUAAAAUCUAAAAUAUUGCUAGAAUGGUGUUCACAGCUGUUUCAUAAGGUGUUCGUUAUUGUAAAUUGUAACAUAUCCCUUGAUGGUAUUUGUUAGUUCAACAUUAUUAAUUGUAUCAUAAGACAUGCAAUAGAUAUAUUCAACCACAAG
rnacentral:lncRNA from 1 species